GCGGCACGGGCGAGUAACACGUGGGUAACCUACCUAUAAGACUGGGACAACUUCGGGAAACCGGAGCUAAUACCGGAUAAUAUGUUGAACCGCAUGGUUCAAUAGUGAAACGAUGGUUUUGCUAUCACUUAUAGAUGGACCCGCGCCGUAUUAGCUAGUUGGUGAGGUACGGCUCACAAGGCAACGAUACGUAGCCGACCUGAGAGGGUGAUCGGCCACACUGGAACUGAGACACGGUCCAGAUCCUACGGGAGGCAGCAGUAGGGAAUCUUCCGCAAUGGGCGAAAGCCUGGACGGAGCAACGCCGCGUGAGUGAUGAAGGUCUUAGGAUCGUAAAACUCUGUUAUUAGGGAAGAACAAACGUGUAAGUAACUGUGCACGGUCUUGACGGUACCUAAUCAGAAAGCCACGGCUAACUACGUGCCAGCAGCCGCGGUAAUACGUAGGUGGCAAGCGUUAUCCGGAAUUAUUGGGCGUAAAGCGCGCGUAGGCGGUUUUUUAAGUCUGAUGUGAAAGCCCACGGCUCAACCGUGGAGGGUCAUUGGAAACUGGAAAACUUGAGUGCAGAAGAGGAAAGUGGAAUUCCAUGUGUAGCGGUGAAAUGCGCAGAGAUAUGGAGGAACACCAGUGGCGAAGGCGACUUUCUGGUCUGUAACUGACGCUGAUGUGCGAAAGCGUGGGGAUCAAACAGGAUUAGAUACCCUGGUAGUCCACGCCGUAAACGAUGAGUGCUAAGUGUUAGGGGUUUCCGC
rnacentral:rRNA from 1 species